CUACCGGGGUAUCUAAUCCCGUUUGCUCCCCUGGCUUUCGCGCCUCAGCGUCAGUAGAGAUCCAGUGCGCCGCUUUCGCCUCCGGCGUUCCUUCCAAUAUCAACGCAUUUCACCGCUCCACUGGAAGUUCCGCACACCCCUAUCUCCCUCAAGACCGACAGUAUCGAAGGCACUUCUGCAGUUAAGCUGCAGGAUUUCACCCCCGACUUGUCGGACCGCCUACGCGCCCUUUAAGCCCAGUGAUUCCGAACAACGUUAGGACAGUUCGUCUUACCGCGGCUGCUGGCAC
rnacentral:rRNA from 1 species